GCCAGCAGCCGCGGUAAUACCAGCUCCAAUAGCGUAUAUUAAAGUUGUUGCAGUUAAAAAGCUCGUAGUUGGACUUGUGUGCAUGGGAACUCGCGGUCUUCGUCCAAAAGGGUGUUACGACAUGCGGUUCCUGUGCCGUAAAAUCUUCAACUGGAUCGCACCUGGUCUUAAUUGACUGGGAGCUGUCAUUCGGUUGAUCGUUUACUGUGAGAAAAUUAGAGUGUUCAAGGCAGGCAUAAUUGCAAUUGAAUAUGUUAGCAUGGAAUAAUAAGAUAAGGCUUCUGUAUUUUUUUGGUUUCUAGAGUGGAAGCAAUGAUUGAUAGGGAUAGUUGGGGGUGCUAGUAUUCAGCGGCCAGAGGUGAAAUUCGUGGAUUCGCUAAAGACUAACUUAUGCGAAGGCAUUCACCAAGGAUGUCCUCUUUAAUCAAGAACGAAAGUUGGGGGAUCGAAGACUAUCAGAUACCGUCGUAGUCUCAACCAUAAACUAUGUCGACUAGGGAUUGGCGGUCGUUUUUAUUAUAAGACUCCGUCAGCACCUUAUGAGAAAUCAAAGUGUUUGGACUCUUGGGGAAGUAUGGUCGCAAGGCUGAAACUUAAAGGAAUUGACGGAAGGGCACCACCAGGAGUGGAGCCUGCGGCUUAAUUUGACUCAACACGGGGAAACUUACCAGGUCCAGAGAUGUAGAGGAUUGACAGAUUGAAGCUCUCUCUUGAUCGCUUCGGUGGUGGUGCAUGGCCGUUCUUAGUUGGUGGAGUGAUUUGUCUGGUUAAUUCCGUU
rnacentral:rRNA from 1 species